rnacentral:rRNA from 1 species
AUAUCUUAGCGGCGGACGGGUGAGUAACACGUGGGUAACCUGCCCAAGAGACUGGGAUAACACCUGGAAACAGAUGCUAAUACCGGAUAACAACACUAGACGCACGUCUAGAGUUUGAAAGAUGGUUCUGCUAUCACUCUUGGAUGGACCUGCGGUGCAUUAGCUAGUUGGUAAGGUAACGGCUUACCAAGGCAAUGAUGCAUAGCCGAGUUGAGAGACUGAUCGGCCACAUUGGGACUGAGACACGGCCCAAACUCCUACGGGAGGCAGCAGUAGGGAAUCUUCCACAAUGGACGAAAGUCUGAUGGAGCAACGCCGCGUGAGUGAAGAAGGGUUUCGGCUCGUAAAGCUCUGUUGGUAGUGAAGAAAGAUAGAGGUAGUAACUGGCCUUUAUUUGACGGUAAUUACUUAGAAAGUCACGGCUAACUACGUGCCAGCAGCCGCGGUAAUACGUAGGUGGCAAGCGUUGUCCGGAUUUAUUGGGCGUAAAGCGAGUGCAGGCGGUUCAAUAAGUCUGAUGUGAAAGCCUUCGGCUCAACCGGAGAAUUGCAUCAGAAACUGUUGAACUUGAGUGCAGAAGAGGAGAGUGGAACUCCAUGUGUAGCGGUGGAAUGCGUAGAUAUAUGGAGGAACACCAGUGGCGAAGGCGGUCGCCUGGCCUGUAACUGACGCUGAGGCACGAAAGCGUGGGGAGCAAAUAGGAUUAGAUACCCUAGUAGUCCACGCUGUAAACGAUGGAUACUAAGUGUUGGGGAAACUCAGUGCUGCAGUUAACGCAAUAAGUAUCCCGCCUGGGGAGUAUGCACGCAAGUGUGAAACUCAAAGGAAUUGACGGGGGCCCGCACAAGCGGUGGAGUAUGUGGUUUAAUUCGACGCAACGCGAAAAACCUUACCAGGCCUUGACAUCCCUUGCGAAGCUUUAGAGAUAGAGUGGAGGAUAUCAAGGAGACAGGUGGUGCAUGGUUGUCGUCAGCUCGUGUCGUGAGAUGUUGGGUUAAGUCCCGCAACGAGCGCAACCCAUGUCUUUAGUUACCAUCAAGUAAAGUUGGGGACUCUAAAGAGACUGCCGGUGAUAAACCGGAGGAAGGUGGGGAUGACGUCAAAUCAUCAUGCCCCUUAUGGCCUGGGCUACACACGUACUACAAUGGCGCAUACAGACGGAAGCGAAGGAGCGAUCUGAAGCAAAACCGAGAAAGUGCGUCACAGUUCGGAUUGAAGUCUGCAACUCGACUUCAUGAAGCCGGAAUCGCUAGUAAUCGCAGAUCAGCAUGCUGCGGUGAAUACGUUCUCGGGCCUUGCACACACAGCCCGUCAA